UACGGAGGAUGCAAGCGUUAUCCGGAAUUAUUGGGCGUAAAGCGUCCGCAGGUGGCUAAUCAAGUCUGCUGUCAAAGACUGGAGCUUAACUCCGGAAAGGCAGUGGAAACUGAUGAGCUAGAGUUCGGUAGGGGUAGCAGGAAUUCCCAGUGUAGCGGUGAAAUGCGUAGAGAUUGGGAAGAACAUCGGUGGCGAAAGCGUGCUACUGGACCGAAACUGACACUCAGGGACGAAAGCUAGGGGAGCGAAAGGG
rnacentral:rRNA from 1 species